GUAAUCCGCAGCCUUUGCCUCCAGAACGUCGUCGAUCCUGUCAUUUGUUUCGUUUGCUUUGAGGCCAGUCUUGUUCUGUAUCAGAUCGAUUAGCAGGUCUUCAACAUGAGGGCGAAGUGGAAGAAGAAGAGAAUGAGGAGAUUGAAGAGGAAGCGCCGAAAGAUGAGGCAGAGAUCCAAGUAGUUUGUGUCUUUUUUUAAAUAAAAAAAUGAAUCGUUCUUUUAAUCGCUACUGAUCUAGGAAUAGAGUAAUAGUUCCAAUUCGUGUUUUUUAUUAAGUCCUUUUAGUUUCAAUGCGCAAUUUUGUUUGACUUCCUCGCACUUUGAUCUACAUUAUUGAAUUUGCUGUCUGGAGUUUCUGAAAUUUCCGUUGAAUUAUCUGUUGAUUCCACCAGUAAUCUAAAACAUUCUUUUCA